GACAGAGGGGGCAAGCGUUGCUCGGAAUUACUGGGCGUAAAGGGCGCGUAGGCGGGAUGGCAAGUCGGUCGUGAAAUCCCUCGGCUCAACCGAGGAACGUCGAUCGAUACUGCUGUUCUUGAGGAUUGCAGAGGAGACUGGAAUUCCCGGUGUAGCGGUGAAAUGUGUAGAGAUCGGGAGGAACACCGGUGGCGAAGGCGGGUCUCUGGGCAAUUCCUGACGCUGAUGCGCGAAAGCGUGGGUAGCAAACAGG
rnacentral:rRNA from 1 species